rnacentral:rRNA from 1 species
GACAGAGGUGCCAAGCGUUAGGCGGAAUCACUGGGCUUAAAGCGUGUGUAGGCGGUCUUGUAAGUACCUUGUGAAAUCCCACGGCUCACCCGUGGAACUGCUGGGUAUACUGCGAGUCUUGAGCCACUUAGGGGCUGUCGGAACAGGCGGUGGAGCGGUGAAAUGCGUAGAUAUCGCCUGGAACGCCAAAGGUGAAAACAGACAGCUGGGAGUGUGCUGACGCUGAGACACGAAAGCCAGGGGAGCGAACGGG